rnacentral:rRNA from 1 species
AACGUAGGACGCAAGCGUUAUCCGGAGUUACUGGGCGUAAAGGGCAGGCAGGCGGGUCGAUAAGUCGGAUGUGAAAUCUCCCUGGCUUAACCGGGAGAGUGCAUUUGAGACUGUCAAUCUGGAGGGCAGCAGAGGAGCGUGGAAUUCCGGGUGGAGUGGUGAAAUGCGUAGAGAUCCGGAGGAACACCAGAGGCGAAAGCGGCGCUCUGGGCUGCACCUGACGCUGAACUGCGAAAGCCAGGGGAGCGAACGGG